UAAAUACAAUUGCAUUCCAUUUGCAUACAUAUACUAUAAAUGAAGUCGACUUUUUAUAGUGCGAUUUUCGCGGUUUUGCUGGUGGGUGCGAUGUUUUUUACGGACGGAAGCUUAGCACAACCUUGCUCGUCCGCCUUGUCAGCUCUGAACGUGUGCACGCCGUACGUGGUCCCCGGGGCCGUGGCGAACCCGAGCCCCGAUUGUUGUGGCGCCCUGCAGUCCAUUAACCGCGAUUGCUUGUGUAGCACACUCCGCAUCGCCUCUCGCAUCCCGGCCCAGUGCAACCUUCCUCCCCUCACUUGCCCAAACUGAAGUUGGAAUUUUGAUCAUCGACAAUAAUGGAACGCUUUUUCCACUUUUUUCUAGUAACGCACCAUGUAAUAUUAGUUCAUGCAAAAGUAAAAGUAUCUCCAACUAAGCAAUAAACAUGGUUUCAAUA